UUUCAAGACCAAGUCUUUCAAGCUUAAAUGAAGGGAGAAGGAUAAGGUUCUCAUAUACUGUAUUUUUUACUUGCCAGUUAAGAGUUUCAUUACCGGAGGUUUGUAGAGAUAGCACCACUGCUAUACAGGAUUUUCAACAAGAAGCUUCCUUCUGCAUCAAAGAUUACCUUUUUGUGUUUAAUAUGGCGGGGAUUAUUUAGCAGGGGUCAUUUCAAGGAUACACUGUGAGCAAGUGCAAUGGACUCUAGGCACAUAAGGCAAACAAUAAUGGGGACCUAACAGGACUCUGGAUCACACAUUGCUGUCUUCGUGUUCUAAUACUGAAUUUGGUCUUCAACCCAUUGCUGCUAGUGAAUUCUUUUAAAAUCUCUUUCCUUACUUUCCAGGCAAGGUGCUCCUUUACAUGCAAUGGUCAGUGCAAAUCAUUGUUAGUUUGCAUGCUUUCUUAAAGCAAGCUGGUACCUUGGAAAGGCCUAUGUGCAAAAAACUGAAUGUGGCCUCUGGCCAACCACCAGCGAGGAACUAAGGCCCUCAGUCCAGCAGUUUGUGAAGAACUGAAUCCUGCCAUCAACCAUGUGAGCCUGGAAGUGGAUUCUUCCCCAGAUGAAAGAAUUAUACCAUCUCAACUGUAGCAAGUACCAUGGCCUGUGCUUUUAGAGGUUCAAAAUUGAUGCAUGAGAGUAAAGGUGAAAAUAAGAUUUGUUAACAGAUGUUAACAGUCCUACAAAAUGUACCCUUGAAACUCCUGGUCAAAGUUUAUUUUCACUGCUAAACUGAAAACUGCAUGAGCACAGGGCCUUCUUCACUAUUGCAUAGUAACAAUCUUGCUCAAGCAUCUGAAGAAAGAGUAUUUUGGAGAAGUGCAGCAUUUCGAAGGGCAUUCUCAGGGAUAGGAUCUGAUACUCUGUCUUUCCAGCUAAUGUCUCAUCAAUAAAUACCUGGAUCAAUCAACAAUAAUAUAAUACUUAAAUAUUAAAUUUACUUCAAAAGGUAAUUACUUUAGCAUUUGCAAAGGGGAUAUGGAACGUUGCAGACUAGGAGAGAUAGAUAUUUCAGGACACCCACACAGAAUGGGCAUUGGUAUGGCAGAGGAGUAUUACAGAGAAUCUCAUUGUACCCAUGUCCAUGCAUGGAAUAACCUGCCUCCUGGCUGGCUUGAGGAAGCUAAUCAGACUAGGCAACAGCCACAGGAAAGUCACUAUCUCUUUCUAUAUCAACAACUCUCCUCCUCCUCCUGCCAAACACUAUCAAAAUCCUGAACGGUCAUAUAAAUUACUAAAUAUUAAGUUGGAAACCAAAAGCAAACAAAAUGAAUAUAAUGAUGUGACCUCAUUGUUGGGAGAAGGCAAUGCAGAGCACUUUUGGAUAUGCAAUUUUCCUGACCCACGGAGGUUUCCUAGGAACAAAGUCUAAAAGAGUGGGAGGAAAUAAUCCAGGCAGAUGCAAAAUCUAGUGAGUGGGAGUCGUGGCACUCACCAGAGAGAACAUGUGAUAUGCAGCAAAUAAGCUAGGAUCAGGCAAUCACAGGACUUCACAUGUCAACCUAUUCACUUUUCUUACUCUCUAUCCUGAUAUUGAAACAAUAAAACAACAAAAGGACAGAAUAAACAACAAAUAAUGGAAUGAAGAAAUGUUAACUACAAAAACAGA